rnacentral:rRNA from 1 species
CCUACGGGUGGCAGCAGUGAGGAAUAUUGGUCAAUGGACGAGAGUCUGAACCAGCCAAGUAGCGUGAAGGAUGACUGCCCUAUGGGUUGUAAACUUCUUUUAUAUGGGAAUAAAAUGUUCCACGUGUGGGAUUUUGUAUGUACCAUAUGAAUAAGGAUCGGCUAACUCCGUGCCAGCAGCCGCGGUAAUACGGAGGAUCCGAGCGUUAUCCGGAUUUAUUGGGUUUAAAGGGUGCGUAGGUGGAUUGUUAAGUCAGUUGUGAAAGUUUGCGGCUCAACCGUAAAAUUGCAGUUGAAACUGGCAGUCUUGAGUACGGUAGAGGUGUGCGGAAUUCGUGGUGUAGCGGUGAAAUGCUUAGAUAUCACGAAGAACUCCGAUUGCGAAGGCAGUUCACUGGACUGCAACUGACACUGAGGCUCGAAAGUGUGGGUAUCAAACAGGAUUAGAUACCCUAGUAGUC